UGAGUCGGCUGGGCAGUCGCGCGCCGGUGUUUCGCCUGCGUGAGGAAAGUCCGGGCUUCGAAGAGCAGGAUAACGGCUAACGGCCGCCGAGGGCGACCUUAGGGAAAGUGCAACAGAGAUAUACCGCCAUGUCGGAUUUUAGGCGACGAAAACGAGGCUUUGCGCCUGAACCAAAGCAGGUUCAAAAUCGCCCGCCGUCUAAAAUCCGGCAUGGUAAGGGUGGAAAGGCGAGGUAAGAGCUCACCGGCGCGCGGGGAACCGCAGCGCCCUGUAAACCCUAUCCGAAGCAACACCGACCGGGGGGGCUUCGCAAGAAGCCGCGCUUGCUCGGCGCAAUCCCCAACGGGUGGCAGGAUCGUACCGGCAACGGUGCGACAAGAUAGAUGAUUGCCUUCAAUGACAGAACCCGGCUUACACGCCGACUCACAGC
rnacentral:RNase_P_RNA from 1 species